rnacentral:lncRNA from 1 species
GAAAAAUAACCGAAUGUAACAAACGUAGCUCCAGUGAAGCCUUAGGAGGGGUGAAUUUCAACUGUGCAAUUGAGCUGGUGGUGUUUUAACCUCUAAUGAACUGCUGCACUUGGUUGGAAAUUUUGCUAAAAUAGGACCAUAGGACCUUAACUGACACUUAAAGUGCUGUCACAAAGGAUUGGAGUUACAGGACAGCAUUUUCACUUUCACUGUAGAUAAAUUUGAAUAAUCCAGCAUCAUGUAGGACAGUGGGAUGAGCUCCUUCCUGAAGAAGCAAGGUUUUACAUAGUUUUCUUUUCUAUGGUUCCUGACUCAAAACUGAUACAGCAAAUCCUGAUCUGCCCCCUGGGAAACACGGAAAAAUUUCACCACCAGCUUCACCCAAGACAAGAAUUCAUCAUAAAGAAAUUUCACAAUCAGAUCUGCAGCUGUUGUGCAUCCCCGUACAGGUAGAUCUCUUCACACUUUGAUCAGUUUAAUAUGGAGAGAGUAUUGUUGGUCUGCAUUUUCUGAACCUUAUUGAUAUUUGUGGUUUUACUCUUUGAGAUAGGAGAAUGUGGAAUCUUUUGACAAAAUGACAAGGAAAGAGAAAAUCAUGCAGCUUGAGUAUGUCUGUGCAUUGCUGCAUUGUUGGACUCGCUUUUUAAAAUUAGUUUUUCAGUUCUUCUCAAAAGUGCUGGAGUAAAAGAUGAAUGUCAGUAUUCAGCAGUCACAGGACAGAAGCGGUCCAGAGCCUGUGCCCGCUCCUUGCUGACAAGGCCUGUAACGGGAGCACCACGAUGGUUUUGUACCAAGAAUUUCACAGAAGGAAAGUAAGCUGUUCUGUGUUCUCAUUUAUUAGACAGAGAGAGAACUGAAGAGUAACCUUUAUGGAACUCACAUGGCACCUGAAUAAUUUGCAUUUAGAAAGGAUGUUCCUUUCAUGUUCAAUUGGUUUAUUGAAUCUGUGUUAGACUUCUGUAAAUGCUGCACAGCUUUUGCAUCUCCAGUACUUUUCCUAAAUGAAAGACUAACCUUUGGAGUCUGGCUUGGUAUAUUACAUUUAUGUUUAGUCUAAAAGAGGUAAUGAAAGUCAUUGAACUGAAUGGCACAAAUUCCCUUGGUCCUUGAGAAGCAGCUUUAACAACAGUCUCACUUGGAUGUUCAGAGUGACAGGAAUUAACAUCAUUCCUAUCCAUCGGAACAUACUUCUGCUUGAAACAACCCUCACAAAUUCAUGUUUCAGUAAUUCUGUAAGGGCAGACUGUAGUGCCAAAGGAGGAAAAACUGAGUACGUUUCUCAUUCCCAAGAGAAAUUAAAAAGGAGGCAAGUGCUUUGAGUGGUUAGCAAGUCUCUUCGUGCUGAUUAUAGUGGCCUGCCAUCAAGAACCUUGAAACAAAACUCAUGUUACUGAACAGAAAUAUUUUGAAAAUGAGUGUGCUAAGGAGCUAUGGGCUUGGUGUG